GAAACGUUUUGUAUUUUCAGUUUGACUGCUGCAGCUUGAAUGUGAUCACGUCUACUUCGAAUGAAUACACGUUCAACGGGACAGUUUGGUGGGACAACAGGGACAGUACUUUGGAUCGAGUUCCCGGAAGUUGUUGCUCGGCCGCUACAGAAGACGAUUACAAGACCUACUCUGAUUCUGAUUGCGAACGUAUUCUUCUUUCACAUAAUAAAAGGAGCUGCUAUGAUGAAAUGGUGUCGUGGCUGAGAUAUUUCUGGACACCGGCUAUCAUUAUAUCUGCGACACUUGUAGCCAUAGAGGCGCUGCUGAUUUUCGUAUCCUGCGUGUUUUGCUGCGGUGUACAACAAUCCAGGGAGAUUAAAUACUGAAUCGUUUAGUAUGGUCGUGCUUCAUGAAGCAAACAUAGAUCUACCAAACAAACAGUUUUUAUAAACCACAUUUGAUUUAUAUGACUGUCUGAUAAAUCAACGUGGAAGAACGAAUUUGUAUUCAUCAUAUCAUAUAUAUAUGCCAUUAAGUAUAUACAUGUAUUUUGAUCAACACUAUUUACCUUUACCUGUUCAUUUAUUUCGAAAGAAUGUUUAACAUACUAAAAUGACCUUUCUUUCUAA